CGCGCGCUCCUCCCGGCGCCAGGAGGCCCAGCGCACCGCGCCGAGCUUCCUCGGAGUCCUCCCUGCAGCCGACUUGGGGAGAAGUCUAGUCAAGUGCAGCAAUGAGAAGAGGGGAAAGAGUAGAACAAGGAGUUGGAUCUGUAGCUGACUGUGAACAAUCAAAUGAGAUAACUCACUCCCUUUGGACCAGCCUAAAAUGUCACUUUUGAAGAGACACAGUUUUACUGUCGCCUAGGCUGGAGUGUAGUGGCGUGAUCUCAGCUUACUGCAACCUCCUUCUCCUGGGUUCAAGCAAUUCUUGUGCCUCAGCCUCCUGACACCCGGCUAAUUUUUUUGGUGUUUUUUAGUAGAGACAGGG